AGAAAUCCAAUAGUCUGAUGGUACAUGAGGAUUCGCCCUCCAAAGAUGUGCAGUUAAAAACCACCGGAGGGAACAUGAUGAUGUCGCAGGGGCCUGACGAAGCAGCAAAAGGUGCGAUAUGGCUGUGGCCUGACGCCUGAUCUCCCCCUGUAACAUCUUCUGCAUCCCGCUGCACCUCCGCCUGACAGCGAUGCUGAUCACAACAGAGAUCGUCUGAAUUGACUCCACUAAUACCGGGUUCUGCAGAGACAAGUCAUAGCUGAAAGAAAUCAUCAUGAUAGUCUGAGCUAGUUUGAGGAGAGAAAGAAAAGUGAAUUAUUCCAAUCAGAAAAGACUUCACCUGAUUUAACUGCACAAUAAUCAUAGCAUAGCAGGUCCUCCUAAACUUAGAUCACAGAAUGACAACAUUAUUGCUAUUAAAGAGGCA